rnacentral:rRNA from 1 species
UACAGAGGGGGCAAGCGUUGUUCGGAAUUACUGGGCGUAAAGGGCGCGUAGGCGGCCUGCUAAGUCGAACGUGAAAUCCCCCGGGCUCAACCCGGGAACUGCGUCCGAUACUGGCAGGCUUGAAUCCGGGAGAGGGAUGUGGAAUUCCAGGUGUAGCGGUGAAAUGCGUAGAUAUCUGGAGGAACACCGGUGGCGAAGGCGGCAUCCUGGACCGGUAUUGACGCUGAUGCGCGAAAGCCAGGGGAGCAAACGGG